UAUUAGUCAAUGCUCGCAAGAGUGAACUAGCUAACUGAAAUCACAGGAUCCACUACGUGUGGUGAAUGUAAUAACGUAAGGGAAAAAAAUGAUAUUACCUUACUAUUAGUGUUGUCCAAAACUGGUGCCAGAAGACUCGGUAAGGCCAGAGACGCAAACGUUAGUCGUCCUAAUCAGGCGUAAAGGGUAUGUAGGCUGCUUUAAAAGUUUUAUAUUUAAAAGCUCAGUUAAAAAUUUUAAAUAUAAAAAAUACUUACUUUUUUUACAGAAAAAUAUAAAAUGAAUUAAAGCUAGGAUCAAAUUGAGGAUAAGUCAAAUAAUACUUAGUGUAGGGUUUAAAUCUGGUGAUACUAGGGGGAGUACUAACGGUGAAAGCUUUUUAUCUAGAAAUGAUUGACGCUGAGAAACGAAGGUGAGAAUAGGAAAUAGGAUUAGAUACCCAGAUACCUCUCACAGUCAACGAUGAAUGGUGGUUGUUAGUUAGUUUUAUUUAACUGAUAACGAUGUUAACACGAUAACCAUUCCGCCUUGCGAGUACGGUUGCAAAACUGAAACCAAAAAAAUUAGUCGGUCUCGAAGCAAACGAAGUGAAGCAUGUUAUUUAAUU
rnacentral:rRNA from 1 species